rnacentral:rRNA from 1 species
UUGAACGCUGGCGGCAUGCCUUACACAUGCAAGUCGAACGGUAGAGGGGCAACCCUUGAGAGUGGCGAACGGGUGAGUAAUGCAUCGGAACGUGCCCAGUCGUGGGGGAUAACGCAGCGAAAGCUGUGCUAAUACCGCAUGUGAUCUGUAGAUGAAAGCAGGGGACCGCAAGGCCUUGUGCGAUUGGAGCGGCCGAUGUCAGAUUAGCUAGUUGGUAGGGUAAAAGCCUACCAGGGCGACGAUCUGUAGCUG